rnacentral:rRNA from 1 species
UACGUAGGGCGCAAGCGUUGUCCGGAAUUAUUGGGCGUAAAGAGCUCGUAGGCGGUUUGUCGCGUCUGCUGUGAAAACGCGAGGCUCAACCUCGCGCCUGCAGUGGGUACGGGCAGACUGGAGUGCGGUAGGGGAGAUUGGAAUUCCUGGUGUAGCGGUGGAAUGCGCAGAUAUCAAGAGGAACACCGAUGGCGAAGGCAGAUCUCUGGGCCGUAACUGACGCUGAGGAGCGAAAGCUAGGGGAGCGAACGGG